AUACGUUCCAAAUGAAAAAACAGAUCGAAGGUCCAGAAAAAGCUUGGGUGUCCGAGCACAUGGACAAAGAGGUUCUCUCAAUAGCCACCCUUGGACAAGAUUGUCAUCCCAGUCAGGCACCCAGGGAGUUUCCAUCUGGAAUGGAAUGAAGUCAAGCCUGACCUCAACAUCUGGCAUCUCCUGCCCACUGCUGCCUUCCCCUGAGUCCUCCCCAGUGGGGUCCAGGAGGAGAUGAGGAAUCCUGAAUACUGUUCAGUCUGCAGCCAAAACCUGUGCGAUCCCAAAUGAGUGCCUGAUGGAGUUGAACCCCAUUCUGUGAAAUAACCUCCAUGUCCAUAUUGGUGACCUACAAACAUCCAGAUGGUUGAAGCAACGUGGGAUCAGAAGCUGCUGUGGACAUUUAACAUGGUCAGUUGCAUGUCAGGUGGUGAUGCACAGGGUGUCUUCUGAGAUCCAGUGUCUGCCUCCAGCAGGGACUCCUCAUUUGGUUGGACUUAGUGCAGCUGGUGGGGCAGGUGCUGAUCGUGUUUUGAUGGAACUGUAUUGCCAACCCAACACUUUUCCUCUAACACAUCAACAGCCAUUUUUAGGAAGUGCACAGCUUAGGUUAGCCUAUGGACUUUACCACCUUACUUCAUGACAGCUCACUAAAUUGUGUGAAGAUAUAGAUAAGUCACCAAAUAGAAAGGCAGCAUUUCCUAUAAUGAAAACUGGACUUUGAAGUCACCAAAUGAAAGUCACAAAGGACAUUUGAACAAACCCUCAACAUUGCUGUAUGUUUAACCCCUAAACAGAUCACAAGGGAUCUAUUUUCACUUUUGUUCGUAGGGCUUCUCUUAGGGGUCUCUGCCUGAGUGACAAAUGGCGUCUCUUUCUGAAGGUUGCAUAAAGGAAUGACCCUGCCUGCCUUCUUUUGAGAAUCUUCUUUCAUUGACUCACCAGCACGUUUGAAGGUUGACGUGCAUUAUUUUGGUGAUUUAAUUUGUGCUUUUGCACUGCCAUGCAGUAGGUCAUGGUGAACAAAUACCACCCAUUUUUUUUUUAUUCAUGGAGUUUUGUGACCUGUGCUUGCUUUAUGAGGGUCACACUGGUCCAUGUUCUUGUGAGUGCAACUGGUGCCUUCAUAUACAGCUUCUCCACCAUCUGUAUGUUAUGAUUAUAACUCUGUGUCCCCUCCUUUUACAUAGAUAAUUCCAAUGUACUCCCCAAACAGUUGAAGUAAUUUUUACCUCCACCACAAGUGUACUUGAAUUCUGCAUCCAUUUGUCUCAAAAUUGAUAUCUUUUCUCUUGACUGUUGUGUGAUUAUCUGGGAUUCUGUUGUCACAAUUUCACUGACACUGCACUCACAAUGCAAUAGAAAUGAUCAUUAUCUAAAAGAUGAUGAAAUGCAGGUCAACAGAGAGCAUGUGGGGAGGUGUGGGGCAGAUGGCUCUUACUCGGUGGUGACAGUGAUUCUGCCAUCUCCCAACUCUGUACUCGGUGAAGUCACAUUGGCAUUUUGGGUUGGUCAUGAAGGGAGAAUUUACACCACGCUAAUUGGCAAACACCACAAGUCAGAAAUCUCUAAACAGGUGUUAUCAGAGCAGCACACCACCAGGCUGUCCCUUCAAGGGAUGAUCUUUCUGGGGAAAUGGCACACAGGGCAUCUCAUGGAGACGGUAGGGACUUUGGAAACAGAGAGGGUGGUGGCAUCGGUUUGCAUCUAUCUGACAUAGUUCAUUUAAUCAGUUAUUGAAUCCAUGUUAACCUUGUGAACUCAUGAGAUAUAGAUUCAAUAAUGCUCAUCUGGUAAUGUGAUUAGAAAUAAAGAAUGUUUUAUUACA